AGAGUUUGAUCAUGGCUCAGAACGAACGUUAGCGGCGCGCCUAACACAUGCAAGUCGAACGCGACAGGGGCAACUCUGUUGAGUGGCGCACGGGUGAGUAACACGUAGGUAAUCUCCCCCCGAGUGGUGGAUAACCCUCCGAAAGGAGAGCUAAUACAGCAUAAGACCACGGCUUCGAAAGGAGCUGAGGUCAAAGCGGAGGAUCGUAAGACUUCGCGCUUGGGGAUGAGCCUGCGGCCCAUCAGGUAGUUGGCGGGGUAAUGGCCCACCAAGCCAUAGACGGGUAGCUGGUCUGAGAGGAUGAUCAGCCACACUGGAACUGAGACACGGUCCAGACUCCUACGGGAGGCAGCAGUGGGGAAUCUUGCGCAAUGGACGAAAGUCUGACGCAGCGACGCCGCGUGGGUGAUGAAGGCCUUCGGGUUGUAAAGCCCUGUGGGGAGGGACGAAUAAGUUGCGGCUAAUACCCGCAGCGAUGACGGUACCUCCUUAGCAAGCACCGGCUAACUCUGUGCCAGCAGCCGCGGUAAGACAGAGGGUGCAAACGUUGUUCGGAAUUACUGGGCGUAAAGCGCGUGUAGGCGGCUAUGCAAGUCGGAUGUGAAAGCCCUCGGCUCAACCGGGGAAGUGCACCCGAAACUGCAAAGCUAGAGUCUCGGAGAGGAUCGUGGAAUUCUCGGUGUAGAGGUGAAAUUCGUAGAUAUCGAGAGGAACACCGGUGGCGAAGGCGGCGAUCUGGACGAUGACUGACGCUGAGACGCGAAAGCGUGGGGAGCAAACAGGAUUAGAUACCCUAGUAGUCC
rnacentral:rRNA from 1 species